GAUGAACGCUAGCGGGAGGCCUAACACAUGCAAGCCGAGCGGUAGAGAUUCUUCGGAAUCUUGAGAGCGGCGUACGGGUGCGGAACACGUGUGCAACCUACCUUUAUCUGGAGGAUAGCCUUUCGAAAGGAAGAUUAAUACUCCAUAAUAUAUUGAUUGGCAUCAAUUGAUAUUGAAAGCUCCGGCGGAUAGAGAUGGGCACGCGCAAGAUUAGUUAGUUGGUGAGGUAACGGCUCACCAAGACGAUGAUCUUUAGGGGCCUGAGAGGGUGAUCCCCACACUGGUACUGAGACACGGACCAGACUCCUACGGGUGCAGCAGUGAGGAAUAUUGGUCAAUGGGUGCAAGCCUGAACCAGCCAUCCCGCGUGAAGGACGACUGCCCUAUGGGUUGUAAACUUCUUUUUGUAUAGGGGAUUAAACCUACCCUCGUGAGGGUAG
rnacentral:rRNA from 1 species